rnacentral:rRNA from 1 species
AGAGUUUGAUCAUGGCUCAGAUUGAACGCUGGCGGAAUGCUUUACACAUGCAAGUCGAACGGCAGCACGGGGCAACCUGGUGGCGAGUGGCGAACGGGUGAGUAAUACAUCGGAACGUGCCCAAUCGGUGGGGAUAACGUAGCGAAAGUUACGCUAAUACCGCAUACGAUCUACGGAUGAAAGCGGGGGAUCGCAAGAUCUCGCGCGAAUGGAGCGGCCGAUGUCAGAUUAGGUAGUUGGUGGGGUAAAGGCUCACCAAGCCAACGAUCUGUAGCUGGUCUGAGAGGACGACCAGCCACACUGGAACUGAGACACGGUCCAGACUCCUACGGGAGGCAGCAGUGGGGAAUUUUGGACAAUGGGCGCAAGCCUGAUCCAGCCAUUCCGCGUGCAGGAUGAAGGCCUUCGGGUUGUAAACUGCUUUUGUACGGAACGAAAAGGUCCUGGUUAAUACCUGGGGCUCAUGACGGUACCGUAAGAAUAAGCACCGGCUAACUACGUG